rnacentral:lncRNA from 1 species
CUAACCAUGAUAACCCAAAAGGUAAACAAGGAUAAGGUAAAUAGAAAGCUAGUCAAUCCUUAGGUUUCAAUUAAGUAAUGCGGGACAGUGAAUUAUAAGUAGAUAGGACAUAAUGGGUCAGAGGACACUUGCCUUCACCAAACAGAUGCUCAGAAUCUUCAAUCUUCAAUCUCGUAAAGCUCGAGGAGCUUGAUCACUUGGUCGACGAAGCUUGACUGUCGAUUCCUUGAAGCUUGGAGAUGGAUCGCAUUCUAAUCGCAACGCGAAGCGAAGACGAACAAACACAAGCAAGCAAACACAUAUAUGCAUAAGAACAUUACACCAUACAAAUACAAACAUAAUAAAACAUGCAAAACGAAAUAGAGUGCGUUACUACGGUCACGCAAGGAAAAAGAAACGCGAUUGUCAGGGCUACGGUCGAGAAGUCAUCGUAUUUACACUAAAUAAGUAUUAAUCGACAUAAUCAUAUUAAUUAUAACUACUAUUUAGUUUCGAUUAAUCUACUACACUAACAGAUGUCAGUUAAGUAAGUAAUUUAAUUAACACGAGAGAUUCUAAACGGGGCGAAAUUAACGACACACGACAAGAUGCGCGACGUGCAAAAUUAAUGAGCGAAUGACGCACAGCCACACGCGACAUAGCACGCUGACGACACACGAAACAGUGCGCGCGACCAGCAGGAACGACGCGUGAACCAGCACGUCACCACGUGCGGAACAGCACGCGCGAUGGCGAGAAAUAACUAAAUAGGCGACACAUUUAUAUUAAACAAAUAUUAAAUAAAUAAAAAGAAUUUAAGUAAACAUUAACUAUGUUAGUGUUAAUUAUCACAGCGCAAGUUGGAAACUAUUCAUAACCUAAUCGGAAUAUUAAUCUAAUCAACAUUAGUCGAGCAAAUAUUAAUUAAAAUAUGAGACCUGACAAAUUAACGUUAUUAACGUGAAUGCUUAUAAGUGCAAACAAUUUAUUAUCACGAGUAGACGCUGUGCGACACACGUGAUCGACACACGAGAUACGCGCGACAGGCGCGAGCAACGCGCGGCGAGGCGCACGACACACGCGAACGGCGCGCGACAACGUGUGUGAACAGCACGCGUGACACUCGCGAACGACACGCGACGACCCGUGCGAAACAGCACGAACCAGACACACGAACAACAUGACGACGACGAGCUCUACACGUGCGAACAACGCAUAGACAGUGCGACGACGCGCACAACACACGAAAGCCGCUAGCAGACAUCGUGUUUAUACUAAACACUUGUUAAUUAAAAUAUUUGAAUAGACAUUAAUCACAUUAACUUGUAUUUAUAAAGCGCUAAUAAAAUUAUAAAAUUAGUUCUAUUUAAAUUGUUAUCGAAUGAACAAAUCAUUCACUAAUUAAUUAAAACUUGUGUCGUGACAAAAGUAAUGCUACUAACACGCGGGAUAGACGAACGGGUUCGGGGGGUAGACGAGUGUCGUCUAGGGGUAGACAAACGUCGUCUAGGGGUAGAAAGAUGUCGUCGGGACCCCGACGACAUGCUACGCGUGCGCGAAACAAUGCGCGACACGCGCGAGCGACGCACGCGAUACGCGAUACUCGCUGAACCACAACGAGUUUAUAAUAAACAAGUAUUAAAUGAAAAACACUUAAGUGGGUAUUAAUCAAGUUAACUUUUAUUUAUAAAAGCGCGAGAUGAACUAUAAACUAGUUUUAAUUAGAAGGUCAUAAGUAUCGACUAAACCACUAAUUAAAUAAUUAAAACUUGUGACGUGGUAAAAUAACAUUAUUAAUACGAAAUCGACGCUGUCACGAAGUUGACACGACUAAAACGAGUUGUGUCGGGUUUACAACGGAAAUUAUAUUGAAUAAAUAGUGUUUAUCGAAUUUAAACUACGUGGUACAGUUCUAUUGGCUAACUCGAGGCCACACGAAGGGCUGCGGAAUCGUGGGCAUAGAAAAUCUGCCGAUCUAGUGCGCAUCACAUAACGGGAAAUGACAACAACCCCAUCAAUUGAGAGCCACCACGUGGCCAAGAUUGAGGAGGUGGAGGACGUUUCUCUCUAUUCUUCCUGUAACCGCAUAGACGUUCCUCUCUUUCUUCAACCUCCAUCCAUCCACCAUGGAAGCAGCAGCAAGGAGGCUCGGCUAAGGGAAGGGGAGGCUCGCAGCGGGAGAAGGAAGCGCAACACAGUGUUGCGGCAUGCCCUGGCCACGGGCGAGCAGAAUCCAAAGGGAGAGGGACAUGAAGUAGCAGCGCACGAUGGGGAAAAUAGGAGGCAGGGCCGGUGCGCUACCUAGGGCUCGGUGUCGCGCACGGAUGCACUCGCCAGGGCUAGGAGGCACAGCAGCCGUGGAGCAGCGGAGCAUGUGUGGGCUGCGUGCCUUGCCGCGAGUUUGUGAUACAUCUGCUACGGCGGCGCUGCAGUCAAUCGUGCAAAUAGAAACUAGAGAAAGAGAGAGGGGAGAGAUGAAUAAGGUACGUCUGACCUUGGGCGUAGGGCGGCGCUUCUCCGGCGAGUGGUAGUGCUCCAACGCGCGACGACGACGGCAGGAAGAGGCGGCGAGCGCAUCGCUACGAGGAAUGGUGAGGGACACGGAGCCACGACGGCGCGUGUCAACGACGACACACGACGA